UACGUAGGGUGCGAGCGUUGUCCGGAAUUAUUGGGCGUAAAGAGCUCGUAGGCGGUGUGUCACGCCGUUCGUGAAAAACCUGCAGCUUAACUGUGGGCGUGCGGUCGAUACGGGGCAUCACUGGAGUUCGGCAGGGGGAGACUGGAAUUCCUGGUGUAGCGGUGAAAAUGCGCAGAUAUCAGGAGGAACACCGGUGGCGAAGGCGGGGUCUCUGGGGCCGAUACUGACGCUGAGGGAGCGAAAAGCGUGGGGGAGCAAAACAGG
rnacentral:rRNA from 1 species